rnacentral:rRNA from 2 species
GAUGCAGCUAUGCCGCGUGUAUGAAGAAGGCCUUAGGGUUGUAAAGUACUUUCAGCGGGGAGGAAAAAGAAAUAACUAAUAAUUUUUUCUCUUGACGUUACCCGCAGAAGAAGCACCGGCUAACUCCGUGCCAGCAGCCGCGGUAAUACGGAGGGUGCUAGCGUUAAUCAGAAUUACUGGGCGUAAAGAGCUCGUAGGCGGUUUUUUAAGUCAGAUGUGAAAUGCCUGGGCUUAACCUAGGAACUGCAUUUGAAACUGAGGAACUAGAGUCUCGUAGAGGGAGGUAGAAUUCUAGGUGUAGCGGUGAAAUGCGUAGAUAUCUGGAGGAAUACCUGUGGCGAAAGCGGCCUCCUAAACGAAUACUGACGCUGAGGUGCGAAAGCAUGGGGAGCAAACAGGAUUAGAUACCCUGGUAGUCCAUGCUGUAAACGAUGUCGACUUGGAGGUUGUUUCCUUGAGGGAUGACUUCCGUAGCUAACGCGUUAAGUCGACCGCCUGGGGAGUACGGCCGCAAGGCUAAAACUCAAAUGAAUUGACGGGGGCCCGCACAAGCGGUGGAGCAUGUGGUUUAAUUCGAUGCAACGCGAAAAACCUUACCUGGUCUUGACAUCCACAGAAUUUUUUAGAGAUAAAAAAGUGCCUUCGGGAACUGUGAGACAGGUGCUGCAUGGCUGUCGUCAGCUCGUGUUGUGAAAUGUUGGGUUAAGUCCCGCAACGAGCGCAACCCUUAUCCCCUGUUGCCAGCGGUUCGGCCGGGAACUCAGAGGAGACUGCCGGUUAUAAACCGGAGGAAGGUGGGGACGACGUCAAGUCAUCAUGGCCCUUACGACCAGGGCUACACACGUGCUACAAUGGUGUAUACAAAGAGAAGCAAAUUCGUA